UAAGAGAGAUGUAUGUAAGUGACAAUACCCGCUGUCAGUUUUUACUCACAACUAGUAAAAUAAGUAGUAGCAUGUUUUAUUUAUUUUAGAAGUUAGCUGACACUUGGCUUUGAAAAAUACUGUUGGAAAUCAAUUCUUUUCAUUGUUCAUUUUGUUUUCUGCUUCAUCUUUUUUAUCUUAAGGGUAGUUUCCCAUUAAAAUGUUUCAGAGCUGUGUUCACUCUCACUGUGUGUGUCCCCCCUUGAGUUCCUAUUCCAGUUCGCUGACAUGCCAAAAGUGCAGACCAUCUACUCAUCAGCUAUUUUCAUCUAAUGCCACGCCACACAACCUAUGCAGGGAACUGGAUUGGUUCCCCACUUUACCAGAACAAUCUUCUCACUUCUUUUCAUGCCUAAUACAACCCUCCAUAUCAGAAGUAUUGCAGAGGUGUGAUGUAAAAGCUUUCUAA
rnacentral:lncRNA from 1 species